rnacentral:rRNA from 1 species
AGAGUUUGAUCCUGGCUCAGAAUGAACGUUGGCGGCGUGGAUUAGGCAUGCAAGUCGAGCGAGAAGUUUUCCUUCGGGAGAAUGGACAGCGGCGAACGGGAGAGUAACGAGUGGAGUACCUGCCCCGAGACCCGGGAUAGCCGUGGGAAACCGCGGGUAAUACCGGAUAAUGUCUCCGGACCAAAGGUGCGAUUCCGUCUUGGGAUGGCUCCGCUUCCUAUUAGCUUGUUGGUGAGGUAAUGGCUCACCAAGGCUACGAUGGGUACCGGGUGUGAGAGCAUGACCCGGCUCACUGGGACUGAGACACUGCCCAGACACCUACGGGUGGCUGCAGUCGAGAAUCUUCGGCAAUGGACGCAAGUCCGACCGAGCGACGCCGCGUGCGGGAUGAAGGCCUUCGGGUUGUAAACCGCUGUCAGAGGGGAUGAAAUGCUAGGUGGCUAUCCAUCUAGUUUGACAAAUCCUCAGAGGAAGGACGGGCUAAGUUCGUGCCAGCAGCCGCGGUAAGACGAACCGUCCAAACGUUAUUCGGAAUCACUGGGCUUAAAGGGUACGUAGGCGGCUUGGAAAGUUGGGUGUGAAAUCCCUCGGCUCAACCGAGGAACUGCACUCAAAACUGCCAGGCUUGAGGGAGAUAGAGGUGAGCGGAACUCAGGGUGGAGCGGUGGAAUGCGUUGAUAUCCUGGGGAACACCAGUUGCGAAGGCGGCUCACUGGGUCUCUUCUGACGCUGAGGUACGAAAGCUAGGGGAGCGAACGGGAUUAGAUACCCCGGUAGUCCUAGCUGUAAACGUUGAGCACUGGAUCGGAGGAUUUCGGUUUUCCGGUCGUAGCGAAAGUGUUAAGUGCUCCGCCUGGGGAGUAUGGUCGCAAGGCUG